ensembl:rRNA 5S_rRNA 5S ribosomal RNA
GCUUACAGCCAUACCACCCUGAGAACGCCCGAUCUCGUCUGAUCUCGGAAGCUAAGCAGGAUCGGGCCUGGUUAGUACUUGGAUGGGAGACCGCCUCGGAAUACCAGAUGCUGUAAGCU